rnacentral:rRNA from 1 species
UACAGAGGUCUCAAGCGUUGUUCGGAUUCAUUGGGCGUAAAGGGUGCGUAGGCGGCGCGGUAAGUCGGGUGUGAAAUCUCGGAGCUUAACUCCGAAACUGCAUUCGAUACUGGCCGUGCUUGAGGACUGGAGAGGAGACUGGAAUUUACGGUGUAGCAGUGAAAUGCGUAGAUAUCGUAAGGAAGACCAGUGGCGAAGGCGAAUCUCUGGGACAGUUACUGACACUGAGGCACGAAGGCCAGGGGAGCAAACGGG